AUUGAACGCUGGCGGCGUGCCUAACACAUGCAAGUCGAGCGGUAACGCGGGAGCAAUCCUGGCGACGAGCGGCGAACGGGUGAGUAACGCUUCGGAAUCUGCCCAGUAGUGGGGAAUAACUAACCGAAAGGUUAGCUAAUGCCGCAUACGAUCUACGGAUGAAAGCGGGGGAUCGCAAGACCUCGCGCUAUUGGAUGAGCCGAAGUCGGAUUAGCUAGUUGGUAGGGUAACGGCCUACCAAGGCGACAAUCCGUAGCUGGUCUGAGAGGACGACCAGCCACACUGGGACUGAGACACGGCCCAGACUCCUACGGGAGGCAGCAGUGGGGAAUAUUGGACAAUGGGGGAAACCCUGAUCCAGCGACGCCGCGUGUGUGAAGAAGGCCUGCGGGUUGUAAAGCACUUUUAGUGGGGAUGAAAAGCUCAGGGCUAAUACCUCUGGGUCUUGACCUAACCCAAAGAAAAAGCACCGGCUAACCCUGUGCCAGCAGCCGCAGUAAUAC
rnacentral:rRNA from 1 species